rnacentral:tRNA from 1 species
GGUUGUGGCUCAGUGGUAGAGUGCCGGCUUAGCAUGUGCAAAGCCUUGGGUUCGAUCCUCAGCAACACA